AGGACGAACGCUGGCGGCGUGCUUAACACAUGCAAGUCGAGCGGUAAGGCUCCUUCGGGAGUACACGAGCGGCGAACGGGUGAGUAACACGUGAGCAAUCUGCCCUUCACUUCGGGAUAACUCCGGGAAACCGGUGCUAAUACCGAAUACGACCACUUCAGGCAUCUGAUGGUGGUGGAAAGUUCCGGCGGUGAAGGAUGAGCUCGCGGCCUAUCAGCUUGUUGGUGAGGUAAUGGCCCACCAAGGCAACGACGGGUA
rnacentral:rRNA from 1 species